GGAAGGCAGCAGGCACGCAAAUUACCCAAUCCCGGCUCGGGGAGGUAGUGACGAAAAAUAACAAUACGGGACUCAUCCGAGGCCCCGUAAUUGGAAUGACUACAAUUUAAAUCCUUUAAGAAGGAUCCAUUGGAGGGCAAGUCUGGUGCCAGCAGCCGCGGUAAUUCCAGCUCCAAUAGCGUAUAUUAAAGUUGCUGCAGUUAAAAAGCUCGUAGUUGGAUCUCAGUUACGGGCAGGUGGUUCACUUUACAGUGCUACUACCUGAACCGAACCUAUUGCUGGAUCUCUUGGGUGCCCUUCACUGGGUGCCCCUUGAGACCAGAGCGUUUACUUUGAGAAAAUUAGAGUGCUCAAAGCAGGCGAAUGCCUGAAUAGUUGUGCAUGGAAUAAUGAAAUAUGGCCUCGGUACUGUUUUGUUGGUUCACGGUGCUCGAGGUAAUGGUUGAAAGGGACUGACGGGGGCAUUCGUAUUGCGACGUUAGAGGUGAAAUUCUUAGAUCGUCGCAAGACGGACUACUGCGAAAGCAUUUGCCAAGAAUGUCUUCAUUAAUCAAGAACGAAAGUCAGAGGUUCGAAGGCGAUCAGAUACCGCCCUAGUUCUGACCUUAAACGAUGCUAACUGGCGAUCCAGUGGGGGUAUUUAAAAUGACCUGCUGGGCAGCUUCUGGGAAACCAAAGUUUUUGGGUUCCGGGGGAAGUAUGGUUGCAAAGCUGGAACUUAAAGGAAUUGACGGAAGGGCACCACCAGGAGUGGAGCCUGUGGCUUAAUUUGACUCAACACGGGAAACCUCACCAGGCCCAGACACUAGAAGGAUUGACAGAUUGAGAGCUCUUUCUUGAUUUGGUGGAUGGUGGUGCAUGGCCGUUCUUAGUUGGUGGAGUGAUUUGUCUGGUUAAUUCCGAUAACGAACGAGACUUUAGCCUACUAAAUAGAUGGCAGAU
rnacentral:rRNA from 1 species